rnacentral:lncRNA from 1 species
CCUAAGUUUAGGAGCACGAAGAAGAGAAAAAGAUGGGUCUAGGGAUAGGGUUUUGGAAGAAUGGGGCAGAGCAGAUUAGAAGAAAAAAAAACAGUGGGGUUUGGGAUAUUAACCAGAUUUUGUGAAGGUGGUGGGCUGCGGAGUCUAGGUCAGAGAAGAAGUGAAGGCAGCAGGAAGGGGGUGGUGAGGAAAAAGCGUUGCACGGAAGAGUUGAACUUCUCCAAACCCUGGUGAAGGUGAAGACAGGUAGGGUUGGAGUAACUGAGAGGAUGAUCUGGAGGAGACAAGGUUGUAUUUAGAGAUGGGAUAAUCAGUCUCAGAGUUUGGGGU